UACGUAUGGUGCAAGCGUUAUCCGGAUUUACUGGGUGUAAAGGGAGCGUAGGCGGCGCGUUAAGUCUGAUGUGAAAACCCGAGGCCCAACCACGGGAGUGCAUUGGAAACUGGCGAGCUGGAGUGCCGGAGAGGUAAGCGGAAUUCCUAGUGUAGCGGUGAAAUGCGUAGAUAUUAGGAGGAACAUCAGUGGCGAAGGCGGCUCUCUGGUCUGCAACUGACGCUGAGGCUCGAAAGCAUGGGUAGCGAACAGG
rnacentral:rRNA from 1 species